rnacentral:rRNA from 1 species
GCAGUCGACGGUACAGGCCGCAAGGUGCUGACGAGUGGCGAACGGGUGAGUAAUGCAUCGGAACGUGCCCAGUCGUGGGGGAUAACGCAGCGAAAGCUGCGCUAAUACCGCAUACGAUCUAUGGAUGAAAGCGGGGGACCGUAAGGCCUCGCGCGAUUGGAGCGGCCGAUAUCAGAUUAGGUAGUUGGUGGGGUAAAGGCUCACCAAGCCAACGAUCUGUAGCUGGUCUGAGAGGACGACCAGCCACACUGGAACUGAGACACGGUCCAGACUCCUACGGGAGGCAGCAGUGGGGAAUUUUGGACAAUGGACGCAAGUCUGAUCCAGCCAUUCCGCGUGCAGGAUGAAGGCCCUCGGGUUGUAAACUGCUUUUGUACGGAACGAAAAGGUCUCUCUUAAUACGAGGGGCUCAUGACGGUACCGUAAGAAUAAGCACCGGCUAACUACGUGCCAGCAGCCGCGGUAAUACGUAGGGUGCAAGCGUUAAUCGGAAUUACUGGGCGUAAAGCGUGCGCAGGCGGUUAUAUAAGACAGAUGUGAAAUCCCCGGGCUCAACCUGGGAACUGCAUUUGUGACUGUAUAGCUGGAGUGCGGCAGAGGGGGAUGGAAUUCCGCGUGUAGCAGUGAAAUGCGUAGAUAUGCGGAGGAACACCGAUGGCGAGGGCAAUCCCCUGGGCCUGCACUGACGCUCAUGCACGAAAGCGUGGGGAGCAAACAGGAUUAGAUACCCUGGUAGUCCACGCCCUAAACGAUGUCA